rnacentral:rRNA from 1 species
UGGGGAAUCUUGCGCAAUGGGCGAAAGCCUGACGCAGCGACGCCGCGUGGGGGGAAGAAGGCCUUCGGGUUGUAAACCUCUUUCAGCAGGGACGAAGCCACUAGGGUGAACAGCCCAGAGGGUGACGGUACCUGCAGAAGAAGCCCCGGCUAACUACGUGCCAGCAGCCGCGGUAAUACGUAGGGGGCAAGCGUUGUCCGGAUUUAUUGGGCGUAAAGAGCGUGUAGGCGGCCAGACAGGUCCGUUGUGAAAACUAGAGGCUCAACCUCUAGACGUCGAUGGAAACCGUUUGGCUAGAGUCCGGAAGAGGAGAAUGGAAUUCCUGGUGUAGCGGUGAAAUGCGCAGAUAUCAGGAAGAACACCCGUGGCUAAGGCGGUUCUCUAGUACGGUACUGACGCUGAGACGCGAAAGCGUGGGGAGCGAACAGGAUUAGAUACCCUGGUAGUCCACGCCGUAAACGAUGGGUGCUAGGUGUGGGGGGUGUCGACUCCCUCCGUGCCGAAGCUAACGCAUUAA